AGAGUUUGAUCAUGGCUCAGGAUGAACGCUAGCGGCAGGCUUAAUACAUGCAAGUCGAGGGGCAGCACGGGUAGCAAUACCUGGUGGCGACCGGCAAACGGGUGCGGAACACGUACACAACCUUCCCUUGAGGCGGGGGAUAGCCCAGAGAAAUUUGGAUUAAUACCCCAUAAGAUAUUGUCCCGGCAUCGGGAAGAUAUUAAAGAUUUAUCACCUUAGGAUGGGUGUGCGUAUGAUUAGGUAGUUGGUGCGGGUAACGGCCCACCAAGCCAUCGAUCAUUAACUGGUGUGAGAGCACGACCAGUCACACGGGCACUGAGACACGGGCCCGACUCCUACGGGAGGCAGCAGUAAGGAAUAUUGGUCAAUGGACGGAAGUCUAAACCAGCCAUGCCGCGUGAAGGAUGACGGCCCUCUGGGUUGUAAACUUCUUUUAUCUGGGACGAAAAAGGGCCAUUCUUGGUCAACUGACGGUACCAGAGGAAUAAGCACCGGCUAACUCCGUGCCAGCAGCCGCGGUAAUACGGAGGGUGCAAGCGUUAUCCGGAUUUACUGGGUUUAAAGGGAGCGCAGGCGGAUUGGUAAGUCAGUGGUGAAAUACCCGUGCUUAACAUGGGAACUGCCAUUGAUACUAUCAGUCUUGAAUGUUGUUGAGGUUUGCGGAAUGGGUCAUGUAGCGGUGAAAUGCAUAGAUAUGACCCGGAACACCUAUUGCGAAGGCAGCAGGCUAAACAAAUAUUGACGCUGAGGCUCGAAAGCGUGGGGAUCAAACAGGAUUAGAUACCCUAGUAGUCC
rnacentral:rRNA from 1 species